AAUUGUCCAUUCUAUGAAGGAAAAUGUCAUCACUAUAUUAUGUUAGUAAUAAUAAUUAUAGUGAAUAGACUUUGUACAUUAAUCCAUAAUGUGUGUCCAUAAUUGUCUUUAGUCUCCAUAUAAGACGUGCUGACAUGAGAUGAUCCGUGUGUUUGAUAUGAAGGUGAAUACAGUAUAUGUAGUGAACUUUGUGCUGUAUUGAUGAGUAGUUUAGUGAUCAGAGUCCAUGUAGUUUCCAGGAUCAGACUGAAUGCAGUGCUGUAAGCUGCUGUUGACUGUGUGAAUGUGUGUCUGUGCUGCUUGUUGCUGCUGUCAAACUUCAGAUGAGCCGGUAGUGAAGCCCGUGGUGAGCGUGUACCCAGCAGCAUCCAGAGCCCACCUGGAGGGGAAGAGCUCCCUGCUGUGUCUGGCCUCAGCCAUGUUUCCUCCUCUGGUCCAGUUCUCCUGGAAAAGACGAAAGGAGAAUGGUCCUCUGGAGGAUCUGCUCCCUGAUGAGGGAGAGCAGCUGGAGAUCAGAGAGUCAGGACGCACCGCCUCCAUCUUGCUGAUCAAUCAGCAAAAGAGCAGCACAUAUAAAUACCGCUGCUACGUCCAGCAUGAGGGGGGCACAGUGAAGGCCCAAACAGAACAAGAGGUUCCAGCUUCUGUCCCGUCUCAGUACCAAGUGAAGUUGUUCUGUCUGCUGUACACACAGCUGAUAGUGAAGAGUCUGGUGUACUGCUGUGGACUCUCUCUGCUGAUGAUCCUCAGAAACAAGGGACCGUCCACCAACUGAACACAUGCUGACUGACUGUUUUCUGCUCAACUUUUCUCGCCAUUAAAUCUCAUCAAUUCAUCUCAUUUAUCACUUUAAUCACUAUUCACAAAUAUCAAUUAUGUUGUUCAGAUGUAGUUGUCAUCUGAACAAUAUAAAUACAUAUAUAUCUUAACAGUUACUAAGUUUAAAUUCUGUGGUGUUUUUUGAUACUUUAGUUUAUUUCUACUUUUAAUUGUGACUUGUAUAAUGAUAAUUUGAAUAAUCAGCUGUCUGGUAGAUAUUUCAUAGUUCAUAGUAUUUUUUCUGUUCUUGUGUUUCUCUGUAAUACAUUAUGCAGAGUGUGGCAGCUUUGUCAAUUUUUUUCAGUGUAACAUUAACAAAAAUAAAAUAGUUAUAACAGA